rnacentral:misc_RNA from 1 species
GAUGAAGAACGUAGCGAAAUGCGAUAAGUAAUGUGAAUUGCAGAAUUCAGUGAAUCAUCGAAUCUUUGAACGCACAUUGCGCCCGCCAGUAUUCUGGCGGGCAUGCCUGUUCGAGCGUCAUUUCAACCCUCAAGCCCAGCUUGGUGUUGGGGAUCGGCACAGGCGCCCUCGGGCGCCCGCCGUCCCCUAAAUCUAGUGGCGGUCCCGCUGCAGCCUCCUCUGCGUAGUAGUUUUCUCCUCGCAAGGGCAGCUCGGUGGCGACCUCGCCGUAAAACCCCCAACUUCUGAAAGGUUGACCUCGAAUCAGGUAGGACUACCCGCUGAACUUAAGCAUAUCAAUAAGCGGAGGA